rnacentral:lncRNA from 1 species
AGACGAAGUCUCACUCUGUCACCCAGGCUGGAGGCUGGAGUGCAAUGGUACCAUCUCGGCUCACUGCAACCUCUGCCUCCUGGGUUCAAGCGAUUCUCAUGCCUCAGCCUCCCCAGUAGCUGGAAUUACAGGUGUGUGCCACCCCGCCUGGCUAAUUUUUUGUAUUUUUAGUACAGACGGAGUUUCACCAUGUUGUCCAGGCUGGUCUCAAACUCCUGACCUCAGGUGAUCCACCCACCUUGGCCUCCCAAAGUGUUGGGAUUACAGGUGUGAACCACCGUGCCUGGCCUCAUCUCACUUUUAUGUGACAUGAACAGAAGCUCGCUCUCUGACAUUUUCCAAAAGAGACUGUCCAAUUCAAGUAAACAUAAAUAGGGCUUCAAUGAUUAUGAAGAUGCUAAGCAUCACCUAAUAGUGCUCAAGUAGACCAGGCAUGAAAAUAAACACUAUAACACAUACUUGUGUUAAAAAAAGUAUCUGUAAAUUCCUCAGGCCAUAUAG